rnacentral:rRNA from 1 species
UACGUAGGGACCAAGCGUUGUUCGGAUUUACUGGGCGUAAAGGGCGCGUAGGCGGCAUGACAGUCACUUGUGAAAUCUCCGGGCUUAACUCGGAACGGUCAAGUGAUACUGUCGCGCUAGGAGUGCGGAAGGGGCAUCAGAAUUCUUGGUGUAGCGGUGAAAUGCGUAGAUAUCAAGAGGAAUACCUGAGGUGAAGACGG